CCUACGGGAGGCUGCAGUGGGGAAUAUUGGACAAUGGGGGGAACCCUGAUCCAGCCAUGCCGCGUGUGUGAAGAAGGCCCUCGGGUUGUAAAGCACUUUCAGUGAGGAAGAACGCCUGGUGGUUAAUACCCAUCAGGAAAGACAUCACUCACAGAAGAAGCACCGGCUAACUCCGUGCCAGCAGCCGCGGUAAUACGGAGGGUGCGAGCGUUAAUCGGAAUUACUGGGCGUAAAGCGCGCGUAGGUGGCUUGAUAAGCCGGUUGUGAAAGCCCCGGGCUCAACCUGGGAACGGCAUCCGGAACUGUCAAGCUAGAGUGCAGGAGAGGAAGGUAGAAUUCCCGGUGUAGCGGUGAAAUGCGUAGAGAUCGGGAGGAAUACCAGUGGCGAAGGCGGCCUUCUGGACUGACACUGACACUGAGGUGCGAAAGCGUGGGUAGCAAACAGGAUUAGAUACCCGAGUAGU
rnacentral:rRNA from 1 species